rnacentral:tRNA from 5 species
GGGCGGUUAGCUCAGCUGGCUAGAGCGUUGCAUUGACAUUGCAGAGGUCACAGGUUCGAGUCCUGUACCGCCCACCA